GUCGAACUUCUAUACCAUUCUAGGUCCUUCCUCCUGAGGCAGGCAGUUUAGAUAAACGGGCCGCAACUUCAAAAGAACAUCAUGAACUUCCGUGCGGUAUUCGCGCUCCUGCUGGUGGUUUUGUUGGACAUGGCGUCCGUCGAAGGGCAGAUCUUCAACAUGGCACGCCGGAAGAGGCCCGGGGAGAGGCGUUGGGGUGCCACGAACUAUGGCACCCACUCGUUCGGCAAGUCGGGGUACCACAAGCAUGAAGGGUACCACAAACAUGACCAUCAAUAGCUGCCAUAACUGAAGCUUUAAAAAACGGACCUCCCAAAUGUAGCUUCAGACGGAAGAGACUUGUCUUAUCAUUUAAGUUAUUACUUGUAUAUUAUUUUCUGUCGUACGCCCCGUUUCGACUGUCAUAUAAUAUCAUCCUGCCAUAACUGUCCUAAUUUGUAAAUAUAU